UCAUUUCACAUCUAUUGUUUAUUAGAGCUCUUGAUGAAGAUAAGUGUUAUAGUGGAAAACAAAGGCUACGAUAAAACAAAUGGUUGAGUGUUUCGUCCAAUUUAAAGCUAGAGUAUAAGAUAUUUUAGUAUGCCAGUUAUUAUUAAGAACGAAAAAACAAAACCAGCACCUGAACUAUUACUAGCUCAAUUGAUUUUGGUUCAAGAUAUGGUGUUUUGUUUUCUCAUGUUUAUCUGCAGUAUAGCUGCUGCUGCACAUCCAGGAGAAAGGGCAAUUAAGUGGAGAGAAACUGAAAUAUUGAUUGCCUCAGGUAUAUCUAUGUUUUGUUGUGUUUCGUCAGGAGUUGGAGUCUAUUAUUCAUAUUGGGUUUAUAGAGGGCUUUAAACUGCUUGAAUCAUCUUUCGAUUUUUACUGUAGCUAUCGUCUUCGGACUUUCGUCUGCCACUCACGGUGGUAGUCGCGUUGUUGUAAAACCUGCAGCUUCUGUCUCAUACUCCAAUCCUGCUUAUGCGUACCCUCCACUUCCUCUACCUCCAGCUCCAACUGCAACCACUUACAGAUAUGACUUCCGAUACAAUCCAUUAAAAUACGGAUAUGCUUCACCCUCUUUCCCUGUUGCACCAUUGCCUCAAGCAGUACCAGUGCCACAGCAAUACGCUGUUUCUGCAUAUCCUGUAUCCUAUUCAUGGGCAGCAUAUGGACCUCCCUCUGUACCAGCAGUUCCUGCUAUGCCAGCCUAUGCUCCACCAGCGUACAGCCCUUCACCAGCUUACAGCUCUCCACCAGCGUACAGCCCUCCACAUGCUCAUCAUUUCAUCGAUCGUCAACUUGCUGCUGCUGCAGCAGCAGCAGCUGCACAUCGUUAUCAUCACCACCAUCACUAAUUGUUGUAUUGAAUAUUUAUUGCAGUACUGUAACAAACUAUGUAUCAUUAUUGAAGAAAGUAUGUAAAUGUAUGUAAAUGCCCUUGAAUAUGUAUUUAUUCUGUAGUUUUAGUUUGAAGAAUUUAAAUAAAAUUUAUUAAGAGUUA
rnacentral:misc_RNA from 1 species